rnacentral:rRNA from 1 species
GAUCCUGGCUCAGGAGGAACGCUGGCGGCGUGCCUAACACAUGCAAGUCGAGCGAGAAGUAAGUUAACAGAGAUUUCGGUCAAAGUAAACUUAUGGAAAGCGGCGGACGGGUGAGUAACGCGUAGGCAACCUGCCCUUUGCACAGGGGUAGCCUCGGGAAACCGGGAUUAAAAACCUGAUAACGCCGAGAAAACACAUGUUUACUCGGUCAAAUAUUUAUAGGCAAAGGAUGGGCCUGCGUCUGAUUAGCUAGUUGGUGAGGUAACGG